ensembl:lncRNA
AUGAAAACCAGUCCAUCAUGUGAGCUCGAGCUCACUGGUGCUGAAGUGUUCAGAUGGGCAGCUGUAAAAUCACCUGAAUCACUCAACAUUAUCUGUUACUACACAGUGAUAAAUGUGCAAGGCUCAUUCAUACCAUCAUCAGAUUCUGAUCCUGCCACAGUGACAGUUCUAGUUUCAACAUCAACCACUACUGAACAAACUACUUCCACAACCAUGAAAACCCGUGAGUAAUUGAGUUUGUAAAUCAGUUAUUCUUACUCCAUUCUGAAUGUCCUGAAAACUACAAUCAUUCUUUUAAGCUCAUGAGUAUUUGUCGAUCAUUUACUAUACAUACGGUACAUCACCACACAUUUCACAAUGUCUUUUCACCAGCAUUAACUGUAAUGUCCACUUCUGAGAGUACAACAUACAGUAAAACUGGUAAGUUGCUAAUAAUAGCUUUUCGGGUUAUUUUAGAUUAAAUCUGAUAAAUUAUUUCCUUCUAAAAACUGAUGGCUCUUGCAAUGUUAUUUUUAUAUUAGCAGACCUCCAAACCAAGAUAAACCCACCAAUCAGUACAGCAAAGGAAACCAUGAGUAAGUUCAUCCACUCUUUCUCAAUGGUAAAAGUCACUAUGCAGAAUUAAUAAAUUGGAUUAAAAAGCUCAAAUAUAGCUGGGAAUUAUUUUCAAAGUUAAUUGGUACAUCAGUAACUCAUAAUGGCAGUUCCAGAAUGAAGGCAGUAAACAGAGAAUUCAACAAAGAGUCUCAUUAUUAUGCUGCUUAACAGUAGAAUGUCAGAAAAUGCAGUACAUGACUUUUGCCCAGAUUAACAGUUUGGAUACACUGAUGCUAGUUGGCUAAAGUCAGAGCACAUUUGUUUCAACUGAUUUCAUAGAAAACCAUGUGUAGGAUGGUCACUUCAUUUUUUAAUUUCAGUCUGAGGAUAUCAACAUUUAUGAUAUUUUUGAGCUGAUUUUAGAGCACAUAAGCUGUGUCCCAAUACAGAGGCUGCAUCCUUCGAAUGACACAGAAUUUAAAGUCAUGUCUUCAAAGGCUGUGAAGGUCGAACCGAGCGUUUUUAAAUGGUACUGUCUAGUCUACGAAGUAAAUACAGUUCUGUCAUGACAACUCUCGGAGGGACUGACAUGGUAAUAAUGUACAUGACAAUGUUAAUGUAUUUGGUCUUGGCGGAAUAGAUCUGCUACGCUGUUGCGGCAGAGCAAUUACUGAGACUUGCUACUGCCAGUACAUCCACAACAUGCUGCUGUGAGCAUGUAAGAAAUAUUGCUGCUGCAAAUAUAACAUACUUGAAAUAACCCCCACAAAGCAGGAGACAGAAGGAACAAUACAAGCCAAAACAAGAACAAAACACCCCCCAACAAGCAGAUCUAUCACCAAGAAAUAUGUACUGCUGCUGCUCCGAAGAGCCAUGUGAACCGCAUGUAUUACUAUCUAUGUGAGCCUCGGCUACCACUCCAACCGGCUUAACGCUAGUGGCCUAUGGCUAUGUGAGCCUUGGCUACCACGCCGACCGGCUUAGCAAUAGUGGGUUAUGACUUUGUGUGCCUGGGCUAACACGCCGACUAGCUUAACUCUAAUUAGAUGCACACUAUGUGUAAUGUUUAAUUAACAAAAUGGAUAUAUGUUGUAGUCUGAUAGAUAAGACCCCAGAACCCACCUGAGUAAAUAUCAUAAUUUAGUAAUUUGAUAACCGCUGUUACUUUCUUCUCUUCAUCUGUCCCAGCGACAGCGUAACAGCUUGUUAAGUCAUUUUCGUGCAAUGAUGAGACGGACAAAGUUAUCCGAUGCAUUCCAUUUUACUCUUGGGCACAAUGUCUUGUCGGGCCCCCCAAACCCACACACACAAAUAUGAGCACAGUCAAGGUUUUGAAUUAUAGGGUACUAUUUCUUGGAAACACCUCUAUAUUAUACAGGAUUUACACUGACAGGUUACAGCCUAUCACAAUCUGAAGGUCAAUAUCAACACACAUCCUCCAUCAUACAGGAUUGACAUCACAUGAUUGCAACAAUGCUUUCCUGGACCAGCAGCAAUCUUUGCAAUAAGUGUAAAAAGUAAUUAUGCUAUCUAUACUUUAUAUUGGCAGGUACUAUUUGCACCUCAGUAAUUUUGUACAAUAACUGGAUGCAAUAAUAACACAGGGCCUCAUUCAUGAAACUUGCGUAAAUAUGUGAGUAAAUUCAAAGUAAUCUGUGCGUAAAAUACCUUCCCGAAAACUCUCCUCCGGAUUCACAAACGCUUUGUAAACUUCAGAUUUGAUAGUUAAACGUGUAUGUCAAUGAAUUCCAAUCAUUCGUAAAUAGGGCCAACGUGCAUGCUUAUUCACAAUAAGAAUAAUCCCCGCCUAUGAAUUACAACUAAGGCUAGGUAAAUUACGUGUCCAGUAAUGCAGGGGAAUAUUUUGGAGUCAUUUCUCAGGUUUUGGUUCCAGUAUAUUUCAUAAAUGCAAAAGAGACCAAUAGGCCAUAUGCCUAACAAUAAAUAUUCAAUUAACUUGACCAGCUGAAAAAUGCCAAGGGCUCUUCUGAAAAUGGCCAGCUGGUGGUGCUUUAGAAUUCUUUGGUGGUACUGCGAUUUUCCAGCUGACGAUUUAGUUGAUAUGCUUAAUAUUUGCUGCAUACAAUGCAAACUGCUAACAUGACACUUAGUUAAACUUGAUUAUGGUUGCUCAUUGUUUAAUUCAAUUAGGCAGACCACACAAUACACACAGCAGUAUGGAUUAGAUGAGCAUUUACUUAUUUUAGAUGUUGAAUUCGCUGUUCUGAAGCAAGCUGCACUGCAACGGCAAGCUCUAGUCAUAUAUUUGAAUGUUGAGCAGCGAGCUCACUGGCUACAGGAGAGGACCAAUCAGCUGUGCCAUGUGAUGAUGUCAUUAUGUCAGAUUGAAUUAGACCUAUCAGAUUGCGUCAUCAGAGUUUCAUGCCAGAGCUCUGUAUGUGUGAAUGGUGUCUGAAAUGAUUUGAUCCACUUUUAGAUGUAGUUGAAAACGUAUUUGACCAGAUUGCUUUUAUAGUGUAAACGCUCAAGUGGUCGAAUGCAAACCACCACUAAAGACAGCCUCCUCUCUUCCAACUGAUCUAAGUCUUAAACAUUUGAGGACGUGUUGCUGAAGCACGAUAAUAGAUGGGAUUUAAAUUUUGCAGACUGAAUUCAUACGUCUGGUCUGAAGGUGAAAAAAUGUCAAAAGCACAAUCUUCUCUUACCAGUCCUGAUUCAAACACAAACUAACACAGAAUAAAUUAUUUGAUCAAUACACACAAUAAAAAUAAAACAAAUCGUUCUAGGUUUUUUGUGUAUCACUUCAAUUAUCAGGUGGACUGAUGUAUCUACAGAGUCCAUAUUAAACAUGAUAAUACACAUAAACAUGUAUUAAAUUGUUUGUUUUGUUUUGACACAGAUACAUUGUUAAUAGUGCUGGUCUCCAUUGGUGUUGCUGGAAGUUUGUCUGGACUCAUGGGACUCAUCUGUCUGUGCCGGUUUGCAUGUAAGUAUUUUAAUGUCAGUUUAUUUUUAACAGAAAUUUGAAGUGAUACACAGCAAUAUAAUGCAGCUCAAUGAUUUCUAGGUAAAAAAAGAAGAAAACCGUAAGUGUUUUUUUUUUUUUUUUUAUGCAUUCAAUUCAGUAGUCUGUGAUAUUUUGUUUUUCUUUUAGCAAAAAAUAAUUUUGUAGUCAAGUAGCUGUGUGUGUAGAUGUUUAGCUUCCUAUCUGAUAUAUGCAUGCAUGAAAGGUGUCAUAAAUAUCAAUAUUUGAUUCUUAGCAUUAAAAUGAGAUCAAUAAAAACAGAUGUGCCCAUUCAAGAAACUGGUAUAGUGAGUAUCUUUGCAUUUAUAAUCUUUAAAAUCAUGAAUUAACAAAUAUAUUUCUAAUAUAUCAUAGCAAAUACGAAUGGCUGAAAGAAAUUUGACCUAUAUUACUGGUUAUGUUAUUUAGAGUUGUUCUGGAUCUGCAGAGAUGUAUUCUCUGAUCACUUCUGUACCAGAAACAUCUCAGCCCAUAUCUGCAGGUAAGAAAACAUACUUCUCAGGAAAUGAUCUCAGAUCAAUUAAAAACAUAGUAGCUCACCACCAACUGAUACUUAUAGUUAUAGGAACAUUGUUCAGAGACCACAGUUUCUCACAUUUCCCCUUCAAGUCUUCAGCAGAUCCAUAUUAUUAGCCACAUCUUCUCUUAAAGGAACAGUUCACACCAAACUGAAAAUCAUUAACCAUAAACGUCUCAUAAAAGUAGUGCAAACAACUUAAGUUUUAUAUUCCAAGUCUUCAGAAGUCAUAUGAAAAUCGUUUCCCUUUAUUGUGUAGAUUGCUGCAGUGAUGAUGUAUUUUUGUAGGCCAAUCCAGAAGUC